rnacentral:lncRNA from 1 species
GGCGGGUUUUCCGGGUGCCGUGGUGCCGGUUUCGCUUAGUAGCUGAGUAGGCUUGAAUGGUCCUGUGUGCUGUGUUCUCUGUCCUGCCUCUGGAUGCUGUGGAGGGUGCUCAGGCAAGCUCCGAAGUUGCGACAUGCUUCUAAGCCUCGUGGUUGAUACCUCUGGAGAUACGUGUCAGCCCGGAGCUCUGCCAUUAAACUACCUCAUGUGUUUGCAUCAAGACGGUCUCUCAUGAUUCUUUGGGUGCGCGCUAUCUCGUGACUUGAGUGGGGGUAUCCCCAUGGAGGUCUUUCAUUUGGAGGUUCCACCAAGAUCUGCGUGACACCCAGGAACCCCGAAGACCCCUUGGAGGAUGCAUUGACCUAUGAUGAUGUGCAUGUGAACUUCACUCGAGAAGAAUGGGCUUUGCUGAAUCCUACACAGAGGAAUCUCUACAAAGUUGUGAUGUUGGAGAUCUACAGGAACCUCAAAGCUGUAGGAUACAAUUGGGAAGACCAAAACACUGAAGAACAUUGUCAAAGUUCCAGAAGACAUGGAAGGUAUAUCCUGUGUCACAAUGGAUACAAGCCAUGUGAGCAUAGGGAUAUUGAAAGAAGCAGAACCUUCUCUCUCUCUCAAAACAAUUAAAAUAUAUGUAAUAGUCCACAUUUGAGCAAACUUUGUGAUACAAGUUUAUAAUUAGUUGGCUCUCCAACUUCAGUGGGAAUAUAUCCAUAAACUCACUGCAGAAAAUCCCUAUCAAUACUAGGAUUGUGGAAAUUCUUUUAUGUUUGUCCUGGUUUAUUAUGUCAUUGUAGUAUAUUUCAUAAUAUAGGAAAAUUUAUGAAUAUACCCAGUGUGGUAAAGCUCU